GGGGUUUGAUAUGAUCAUACUCAACUUUAACAGAUAGAAUUUAAGCAUCAAUUAUACCGUACAACAACAUGGCUAAAACGGGAAAAGGAAAAACAGAAAAUUGUCCUCGAAAUAUUUUAUUGAAUCUCGGAACUAUUGUAUAAUUUUAGGCCUUUCUGUUCAUAUUGCUCCACACGUUAUCAAUUGAUAAUGCGUUCUGGGCUUUCAAAUAUUUGGCCAAGUUUUGAGUGUUCCUGACGAAUGUGAAUCCAGAAAAAGACCAUAUAUUUUAUACAAUGGUAUUUUCAUUUGUUAUCCCUGGAUCGAUAUAGCUGCUGGCGGACAACAUUUGUCCGUGUGAAUUCUCACAUAAUGAUCAGUUCUACAUGUUCUAGUAGUCCGUGUUUCGGUACUGACAUAAUAUUGAAUUUACAUUUUUUUUUAAUUCGAGGUAAAAUCAGAAACUAUUAAGAAAACUAAGGUUCCACUGAUCAGUCCGAAAGGUUUUAUCUACUUCAAACACGAG
rnacentral:lncRNA from 1 species